rnacentral:lncRNA from 1 species
UCUGCUCAUCAAGUAUCCUAAUCUUUCUGCAGAGCCCACCCUCUUGAUUCAAGUAACUCUUACUUUAUUGCUUCCAGAUCAUUUUGCCGACCCUCUUCAUGCUCUCGAAUUUCUGCAACAAGACGGCGCUCUUCAACAAAAUUACAUCUCCAUGACAUCCAGACUUUCAUUUCGUUCCUUCUCAGCUUCUCUGUCAAUGCUCAACACUUCAGCUCUAAACUUCGAUGUGAGAGCCUCCAAUUGUUGUUCUCUAGCAUUGAGCUACGCUAUCAAUUCCCUCUACUUUAGCUUUCAGAGAUAAUUUUUUCCUGCC